CCUACGGGUGGCAGUAGUGGGGGAUAUUGCACAAUGGGGGAAACCCUGAUGCAGCGACGCCGCGUGUGGGAAGACGGUCCUCUGGAUUGUAAACCACUGUCCCCAGGGACGAAGAUGACGGUACCUGAGUAAGAAGCCCCUGCUAACUACGUGCCAGCAGCCGCGGUAAUACGUAGGGGGCAAGCGUUAUCCGGAUUUACUGGGUGUAAAGGGAGCGUAGACGGCAGUGCAAGUCUGGAGUGAAAGGCGGGGGCUCAACCCCCGGACUGCUCUGGAAACUGGACGGCUGGAGUGCAGGAGAGGUAAGUGGAAUUCGUAGUGUAGCGGUGAAAUGCGUAGAUAUUAGGAGGAACACCAGUGGCGAAGGCGGCUUACUGGACUGUAACUGACGUUGAGGCUCGAAAGCGUGGGGAGCAAACAGGAUUAGAUACCCGUGUAGUC
rnacentral:rRNA from 1 species